CACCCACAGGACACACAGUAUACACUUUCUGAAUUAUUCUUUCCCUUUCAGACCCUUUUCUUGUCUCAAGCGAUCUGUUAUUUCCUUUCUCAUCUCUUUGUUUCUUCUUAUCUGUCUUAACUAUACUUUCUCCGACACAAGGGAAGACGUUUUCCUCUAUGUUUUUUUUGUUUGCAAUUCCACAAAGAGCAAGUCCUCAGAUAAUAUUUUCCAAGAAUGACCUAAACUGAUCUGAAUCAGUGUCUAUUACAUGCGUGAUUUUCAAUAAACAGUGAUGAAGAUAAUGAACUCACUGAAUCAUGUACCCAGGACUGCGAGGGAUUCACGAAUACCUCUAAAGAUAUGCAAGAAACUGGUGAUACCAGAAAUCCCUGGAGAAUUAUGGAGCAGUGGGGAAGAGAGGUAUCAAGAUAAUGCCACUGGGGAGACUAGUUUGGUAGGAUGAGCAACGUCAAGUGACUUUACCUGUGGAGAGAUUGGAUGGCUACCCACUUGGGCAUUUUAUAAAAAUACCGGGAAGUGUUCUCCAGCUGCCACAAGUCUUCCUAUGCAAUCAAGACUGACGAGGUUCUACACCUAAGGAAAGAAAGAGGAGGGCAUGUCGGUAAGAAAGGCAUUUGCUUGCAGGUGACUGAAUGCCCAACGAGGACUGCC